rnacentral:rRNA from 1 species
GAUGAACGCUAGCGGCAGGCUUAAUACAUGCAAGUCGAACGGGAUUGAGAAGCUUGCUUUUCAUGAGAGUGGCGCACGGGUGCGUAACACGUAUGCAACCUACCUUGUCCAGGGGGAUAGCCCGUUGAAAGACGGAUUAAGACCGCAUAACAUUGAGCUGUGGCAUCACAAAUCAAUCAAAUAUUUAUAGGGCCAAGAUGGGCAUGCGCCUGAUUAGGUAGUGGGCGGGGUAAUGGCCCACCAAGCCGACGAUCAGUAGGGGAUCUGAGAGGAUGACCCACCACACUGGUACUGAGACACGGACCCGACUCCUACGGGAGGCAGCAGUAAGGAAUAUUGGUCAAUGGGCGAAAGCCUGAACCAGCCAUGCCGCGUGCAGGAAGACGGCCCUACGGGUUGUAAACUGCUUUUAUACGGGAAUAACCCCGGUUUCGUGAAACCGGCUGAAUGUACCGUAAGAAUAAGGAUCGGCUAACUCCGUGCCAGCAGCCGCCGUAA